AACGCGAAGAACCUUACCUGGGCUCGAACGGCUUUGGAACAUCCUUGGAAACAGGGACUUCCCGCAAGGGACCGGAGUCGAGGUGCUGCAUGGCUGUCGUCAGCUCGUGUCGUGAGAUGUUGGGUUAAGUCCCGCAACGAGCGCAACCCUUGUCCUGUGUUGCCACUCCCGUAAGGGAAGCACUCUCAGGAGACCGCCAGCGAUAAGCUGGAGGAAGGUGGGGAUGAUGUCAAGUCAUCAUGGCCUUUAUGUCCAGGGCUACACACGUGCUACAAUGGGCGGUACAAAGCGCUGCUAACCCGCGAGGGGGAGCCAAUCGCAAAAAACCGUUCUCAGUUCGGAUCGCAGGCUGCAACCCGCCUGCGUGAAGCUGGAAUCGCUAGUAAUGGCGUAUCAGAACGACGCCGUGAAUACGUUCCCGGGUCUUGUACACACGC
rnacentral:rRNA from 1 species